rnacentral:misc_RNA from 1 species
GAUGAAGAACGUAGCGAAAUGCGAUAAGUAAUGUGAAUUGCAGAAUUCAGUGAAUCAUCGAAUCUUUGAACGCACAUUGCGCCAGCCAGUACUCUGGCGGGCAUGCCUGUUCGAGCGUCAUUACAACCCUCAGGCCCCCGGGCCUGGCGUUGGGGAUCGGCGGAGCCCCCCGUGGGCACACGCCGUCCCCCAAAUACAGUGGCGGUCCCGCCGCAGCUUCCAUCGCGUAGUAGCUAACACCUCGCGACUGGAGAGCGGCGCGGCCACGCCGUAAAACACCCAACUCUUCUGAAGUUGACCUCGAAUCAGGUAGGAAUACCCGCUGAACUUAAGCAUAUCAAUAAGCGGAGGA